GAUGAACGCUGGCGGCGUGCCUAAUACAUGCAAGUCGAGCGAACAGACGAGGAGCUUGCUCCUCUGACGUUAGCGGCGGACGGGUGAGUAACACGUGGAUAACCUACCUAUAAGACUGGGAUAACUUCGGGAAACCGGAGCUAAUACCGGAUAAUAUAUUGAACCGCAUGGUUCAAUAGUGAAAGACGGUUUUGCUGUCACUUAUAGAUGGAUCCGCGCCGCAUUAGCUAGUUGGUAAGGUAACGGCUUACCAAGGCAACGAUGCGUAGCCGACCUGAGAGGGUGAUCGGCCACACUGGAACUGAGACACGGUCCAGACUCCUACGGGAGGCAGCAGUAGGGAAUCUUCCGCAAUGGGCGAAAGCCUGACGGAGCAAUGCCGCGUGAGUGAUGAAGGUCUUCGGAUCGUAAAACUCUGUUAUUAGGGAAGAACAAAUGUGUAAGUAACUAUGCACGUCUUGACGGUACCUAAUCAGAAAGCCACGGCUAACUACGUG
rnacentral:rRNA from 1 species